UAGGUGGCAAGCGUUAUCCGGAUUUACUGGGUGUAAAGGGCGAGUAGGCGGGAUAGCAAGUCAGAUGUGAAAUACCGGGGCUCAACCCCGGAGCUGCAUUUGAAACUGUUAUUCUUGAGUGGUGGAGAGGCAAGUGGAAUUCCCGGUGUAGCGGUGGAAUGCGUAGAUAUCGGGAGGAACACCAGUGGCGAAGGCGACUUGCUGGACACUAACUGACGCUGAGGAGCGAAAGCGUGGGGAGCAA
rnacentral:rRNA from 1 species